rnacentral:rRNA from 1 species
UACAGAGGGGGCAAGCGUUGUUCGGAAUUACUGGGCGUAAAGGGCGCGUAGGCGGCCGCCUAAGUCAGACGUGAAAUCCCUCGGCUCAACCGGGGAACUGCGUCUGAUACUGGGUGGCUUGAAUCCGGAAGAGGGAUGCGGAAUUCCAGGUGUAGCGGUGAAAUGCGUAGAUAUCUGGAGGAACACCGGUGGCGAAGGCGGCAUCCUGGACCGGCAUUGACGCUGAGGCGCGAAAGCCAGGGGAGCAAACGGG